GUGGAUAAAGGGAAAACUCUUUUAGGCCCCUACCUAAUCCCUUCAGCUGUAUCCCAAGUCUUUGAGGCCAGGAAGAUGAAGGAAAAAAAUAGUUUUCUAUAGGCAAAGUGUCUCCUGCUUUUAUUUAUCGACUUAUGGUCUUCACAGCCUGAAAGGAGCCUAUGGUCUGUUUGAGAAGAAAAAGGGAGGCGGACUGGCUGGAAAAUUAAGAAAUCAUGGCCUCUUGUCCUGGGCUACAGGGAAGUUGGAUUCAUGUCCUAGGCAGACCCUGAUUUGCAAAGUGUAUUUCUAGCCACUGCGAAUUUUGCCACACCACAGGAAUGGGCAAUCUUAGUUGGGAAAACUGCCGUUGAAUGUAAAUUUCCUAUCUCCAUAUCUAUUUAGGCAGCAAAUCAAAUGUCUUCUUCCGUGGGUCCCCUUCUCUUGACUCCUGACAUUGGGAACCUUGUCCCUAGGAGGUGUGGAUCGAUUUAAAGAGAGAGAAUUGAAAUGACUUGCCUGUCUCGAGGCCAUAUGAAUUAAUGGUGGCUUGGGCAAAGGAAUUCCUUGCUGUUCCCUAGGAAAGGCCUCUCAUCUCUCGGUGUUGAAACCGAGGUUGGAAAUUUGAAGUGCCCACUUGACCCUCGGCUCCAGGAGAUGAGAGGGGGAAGCACCCGAGGAGGAAGGAGGAGACUCGAAUGUCCUGACCACCCCCGCGCCAACCAAGCCGGACAGGGAGAUCCCGGCGGCAGCGGUGAGGCCCAAAAUGAAAAAAGAUGAAGAAAGCUCUGUAAUGAAUAUGAGGAAUCCCCACCAAAGUCCAGAAGGCACCGUGUUGCUUCUCCUGCUCUGCAGUGAGGUCAAAUUGCCUUUUAAAUACCUCUGGCAGGGAUUUGGGCCAGCGAGCCACACCCAAGGGGAAGAGGACAAGGCAGAAGUCGAACGGGGGAUCGACCCAACCCGGGGAGACCAGGACACCCCUGAGAGGAGAUGGGAGUCGUGCUGCCCACCAGCCAAAAAUAAGCAUCAGAUCAUCUACUCAUCCCAAAACUCUUGGGUAAAUUUCCUGCUAGCAUGAAAUUAUUUGAACCAGGAUCAAUCUCUCUGACAUUUUUAGAUUCCAGAUGAAAAGGUGUUUGGAUUUUUCCUCCCAGGAUAUUUCCCAGUCCAUUUUCACGAGAAAGAACUCUGGUUAGGAGGUGGCUUUUCCUCCUCAAAAUCCAGUCAGGGGAGAGAGAGGUGGUCCAGGGAGCUAUGAAAUGGGAAGAAAUAAUAAGGAAAGUCAGAGAGAGAUUAAAAAGAGAUUUAAAUUUCCCAGGGAAAUUUACCUUAUGUCCCCUUCAAAAGAAAGAAUAAACAUCAGUCACAUGAGGCUCCCCGCUGGGAUUGGGAUUAUAUUCCCUGUGAGUGAGGCUUGGAUUUGGUUUUAGGAGAGAAAAAAGAAUCUUCACGCAGGUUCUCUAAAGGUGCGUUUCCGAAGGCGAUAUGGAAGAGAACUCUUGCCCUGAAGCGGUGGUAGAGUCUGAAUUGCAACCCAGGCGGGCAUUUUUCAGAGCCUUCACCUACCUACUACUGGGAGCGCCCCCGACCGGCAGGCAUCCGCUCAGGUGGAGAGCUGCAGCCUCAGUCGUCGGCAGAAGCUGACCUCCAGGAGAGCAAGAAGGACUAGAUGAAAAGAUGCUGGCAGCAGGCAAGGACCGCGGCCCAAUUUCCAAACCUCCGCUUGGCUGGGAUUCUCCAAGGAUACUGGAAGAAUGAAGACUGUCGUGAGAGAAGACAUUCCAUCUGAAUCGGGCGGCAAGUGGUGGAUAAAGCCAAGGUUUGAAAUUUGAAGUGCCCACUUACCCACGGCUCGAGGAGAUGAGGAGGGGAAGCACCCGAGGAGGAAGGAGGAGACUCGUAUGUCCUGACCACCCCUGUGCCAACCAAGCUGGCCAGGGAGAUGCCGGCGGCCGUGAGGAGGCCCAGAAUGGCCACUGUGUUGCUUCUCCUACUCUGCAGUGAGGUCGAGUUGCCUUUUAGAUACCUCUGGCAGGGAUUUGGGACAGAGAGCCGCACCCAAGAGGAAGAGGACAAGGCAGAUGUCGACUGGGGGAUCGAGCCAACACGUGGAGACCAGGACAGCCCUGAGCGGAGAUGGGAGUCGACCUGUCCACCAGAAAAAAAUAAGUAUCCAAUCAUCUACUAAUUCCAAAAUUCUUGGAAGAAUUUCCUGCUAGUAUCAAAUUAUUUCAACCAGGAUCAAUCUCUCUGACAUGUUUAGAUUGCAGAUGAAAAUUGUUUGGAUUUUUCCUCCCAGAAUAUUUCCCCAGUCCAUUUUCAGGAGAAAGAACUCUGGUUAGGAGUUCUCCAUAUCCAGUCAGGGGAGAGAGAGGUGGUCCGGGGAGCUAUGAAAUAGGAAGAAAUAAUAAGGAAAGUCAAAGAGAGAUUAAAAAGAGAUUUAAAUUUCCCAGGGAGAUUUUCCUCAUGUCCCCUUCAAAAGAAAGAGUAAACAUCAGUCACAUGAGGCUCCCCGCUGUAGAAGAGUUCACUCUCCUGACUACUGGGAUUGGGAUUAUAUUCCAUGUGAGUGAGGCUUGGAUUAGUUUUAGGCGAUAAAAAAGACAAUUCAUGCAGGUUCUCUAAAGGUGCGUUUCUGAAGGCGAUAUGGAAGAGAACUCUUGGCAUGAAGCAGUGAUAGAGUCCGAGUUAAAAGCCAGGUGGAUAUUUUUCAGAGCCUUCACCUACCUACUUCUGGGAGCGCCCCCGACCGGAAGGCAUCCCCAGAGGCGGAGAGCUGCAGCCUCAGACGUCGGCAGAAGCUGACCUACGAGAGAGCGAGAACGGCUAGAUGAAAAGAUGCUGGCAGCAGGCAAGCCCGGUUUCCAAACCUCCGAAUGGCUCAGAUUCUCCAAGGAUACUGGAAGAAGGAAGACUGCUGUGAGAGACGACCUUCCAUCUGAAUCGAGCGGCAAGUUGUGCAUAAAGGUCUUCACAGCCUGAAAGGAUCCUUUGGUCUGUUGGAGAAGAAAGACGGAGGCGAUUGGCUCGAAAAUGAAGAAAUCAUGGCCUAAGGUCUUGGGCUGCCAGGAAGUUUGCAAAGGAGGGCCUGGCUAGGACGCGAUUCAAAGUGUAUUUCUAGCCCCUGCGAAUUUCGCCGCACCACAGGAAUGGGCCAUCUAAGUUGGGAAAACUGCCAUUGAAUGUCAAUUUCCUCCCUCCAUAUCUAUUUAGGAAGCAAAUCAAAUGUCUUCUGCCAUGGGUUUCCUUCUCCUGACUCCUGACGUUGGGAUCCUUUUCCCUAGGAUCCUUGUCCCUAGGAGGAUUGGAUGGAUUUAAAGUGAGAGAAUUUAAAAGACCUGCCUGUCUGGUGGUCAUAAGAAUUAAUGGUGGCUUGGGAAAAGGAAUUCCUUGCUGCUUGCCAGGAAAGUCCUGUUAUCGCUCUGUGCUCAAACCAAGGUUUGAAAUUUGAAGUGUCCCCUUAACCCACGGCUCCAGGAGAUGAAGAGGGGAAGCACCCGAGGAGGAAGGAGGAGACUCGCAUGUCCUGACCACCCCUGCGCCAACGGACCUGGCCAGGGAGAUCCCGGCGGCAGUGAGGAGGCCCAGAAUGGGAGGAGCAGUCCUUCGCUUGGGAGUGAGAUGGUGAUCGACAGGCUCUCAGGGAGAGAGAAGGCCUGUUAUGUGGGUGGGAGGGAUGGACUAUGUCCUUGGGUCUCUUGGAAAUGUGAUUGACUCCUCCAGCUUUUAGCUUUCUUUUUUUUUCCUGGAAGAAAGAAAAUAAAGAAAGCUUUGUAAUGUCUAUAAGAAAUCCCCAACAAAGGCCAAAAGCCACUGUGUUGCUUUUCCUGCGCUGCAGUGAGGUCGAGUUGCCUUCUAGAUACCUCUGGCAGGGAUUUGGGACAGAGAGCCGCACCCAAGAGGAAGAGGACAAGGCAGAAGGCGACUGGGGGAUCAAGCCAACACGGGGAGACCAGGACACCCCUGAGAGGAGAUGGGACCUGUCCACCAGCCAAAGGCGGAGAGAUGCAGCCUCAGACAUCGGCAGAAGCUGACCUCCAGAAGAGGGAGAAGGGUUAGAUGAAAAGAUGCUGGCAGCAGCCAAGGAUGCUGGAAGAAUGAAGACCGCCGUGAGAGAAGACCUUCCAUCUGGAUCGAGCGGC